GGGGGUAUAGCUCAGCUGGGAGAGCAGCAGACUGAAGUGUCGUCUAGAGUCACACAUCAUUCUGAAGGUCCCGCGUUCGAUCCGCGGUACCCCCA